rnacentral:rRNA from 1 species
CAAUAGCGUAUAUUAAAGUUGUUGCAGUUAAAAAGCUCGUAGUUGGAUUUCUGUGCUGGACGUCCGGUCGGCGCCCUCUGGGCGGUUUGUACUUGUGGACGUUGGGCGCAUUUUUUGUGAGGUCGCAGUUCUGCCAUUAAGUUGGUGGUUUUGCGGGCUUGCAUCGUUUACUGUGAAAAAAUUAGAGUGUUUAAAGCAGGCGUUUGCUCAUUUGAAUACAUUAGCAUGGAAUAAUAAGAUACGGCCUUGGUGGUCUAUUUUGUUGGUUUGCACACCAGGGUAAUGAUUAAUAGGGACAGUUGGGGGUAUUCAUAUUUCAGCGUCAGAGGUGAAAUUCUUGGAUCGCUGAAAGAUGAGCUUAGGCGAAAGCAUUUACCAAGGAUGUUUUCAUUAA